rnacentral:rRNA from 1 species
CGUGUCGUGAGAUGUUGGGUUAAGUCCCGCAACGAGCGCAACCCUCGCCCUUAGUUGCCAGCAUUGAGUUGGGCACUCUAAGGGGACUGCCGGUGAUAAGCCGAGAGGAAGGUGGGGAUGACGUCAAGUCCUCAUGGCCCUUACGGGCUGGGCUACACACGUGCUACAAUGGUGGUGACAGUGGGCAGCGAGCACGCGAGUGUGAGCUAAUCUCCAAAAGCCAUCUCAGUUCGGAUUGCACUCUGCAACUCGAGUGCAUGAAGUUGGAAUCGCUAGUAAUCGCGGAUCAGCAUGCCGCGGUGAAUACGUUUCCCGGGCCUUGUACACACCGCCCGUCACACCAUGGGAGUUGGUUUUAUU